CCUACGGGAGGCAGCAGUGGGGGAUAUUGCACAAUGGGGGCAACCCUGAUGCAGCGACGCCGCGUGAGCGAUGGAGUACUUCGGUAUGUAAAGCUCUGUCAGUAGGGAAGAGAAUGACGGUACCUGACCACGAAGCACCGGCUAAAUACGUGCCAGCAGCCGCGGUAAUACGUAGGGGGCAAGCGUUAUCCGGAUUUACUGGGUGUAAAGGGAGCGUAGGCGGCAGGGCAAGCCUGAUGUGAAAGGCCGGGGCUCAACCCCGGGACUGCAUUGGAAACUGGCGCGCUAGAGUGCCGGAGGGGCAGGCGGAAUGCCUGGUGUAGCGGUGAAAUGCGUAGAUAUCACGCAGAACUCCGAUUGCGAAGGCAGCAUACCGGCGCACAACUGACGCUGAGGCACGAAAGCGUGGGUAGCGAACAGGAUUAGAUACCCUGGUAGUC
rnacentral:rRNA from 1 species